rnacentral:rRNA from 1 species
UACGGGGGGGGCAAGCGUUGUUCGGAAUUACUGGGCGUAAAGGGCGCGUAGGCGGCCUGCUAAGUCGAACGUGAAAUCCCCGGGCUUAACCCGGGAACUGCGUCCGAUACUGGUGGGCUUGAAUCCGGGAGAGGGAUGUGGAAUUCCAGGUGUAGCGGUGAAAUGCGUAGAUAUCUGGAGGAACACCGGUGGCGAAGGCGGCAUCCUGGACCGGUAUUGACGCUGAGGCGCGAAAGCUAGGGGAGCAAACGGG